ACUCAUGGGUUCGAGAGAGCAAGAUUCAGUGAGGUAUGUAGCGUCAAAUUAGAGGUCACAGUCACGUAGGAUGUGAGGUGACUGCUAAUGGAUGCAGAGAGACACUGAGGAAAAGGAGACAACCUAAAACAUGGUGUACAGAUUUAUGUUUGAACUUUGCUAGACAGGAGGUUCUGGAACUGAGGGUGAUGGCCUGGAGGAUGCUGAGCAGGCUAGAAGCACACAGAGAGAGGGGGCCCCUAAAAUCCCUGCAAAAACAUAGUAAGUUUGCAUAAGGUGUCACCCCAUCUUCUCCAAAGCAUAAAAUGUCUGCAGCAAUGACCUCAGUGGCUCCCUGAGACACAGACAGCAACUGCACUAAUCAGACCAGGAGGUGAGGACUAGCCUCCCAGCUAGAAAAAAACAAACAAACAAACAAACAAACAAAAAACCAGAAUAGCCAAAACAAUCCUAUACAAUAAAGGAACUCCCAGAGGCAUUACCAUCCCUGACUUCAAGCUCUACUAUAGAGCUAUAGUAAUGAAAACAGCUUGCUAUUGGCAUAAUAACAGACAUGUGGAUCAAUGGAAUUGAAUUGAAGAUUCCCCAUGCUCCUGGAUAGGGUCCUUCCAGACAAUGGGAGGACAGCAUAGUGGGGGGUCACCAUGAGGAACUCUAUGAAAGAGUAGCAGCAUUAGGAAGGAUGAGAGCAAUUGCCUAGGAGUCACUGAACCUAAGAGUCAUUGUUUCAACUAGACUGGAAGGGCAGUGAGGCUCCCCUUUUGGUGUUUGGAUUACAAGCAUGUGCAUACAUGUCCUACCUUUACUUGUGUGUUGGGGAUCUGACUUUGUGUCUCUCACCAGGAGACACUCUGCAGGAAGCUGUGUGCCUGGUCCAUGGUAGGCACUGUAAGAGAUAUGUGUGAGAGAGUACAUGUGACUGUUAUCACUGCAGACAAAGCUAUGGAAACUUCACCCAGGAGUUCACAACACUGGAGCUGCCUAUGUGGCCGAUUGCCAGAGUUGAGCACACAUGGUGCUGGCCAAAAAGGGGCUUAGCUUUCCCAGGAGAGACUAAGAGCAAGAAUUGGACAAGCAGAGAACAGUCUUCAAAUGAAUGUUUGGGACACAUUUGUCACAACAUUUUAUUAUAGAACAAUGACAUUCUGAUAUAUUUAGAUUCUUGUCAUUUUUUACUUAAUCUUUGUGUGUGUGUGUGUGUGUGUGUGUGUGUGUGUGUGUGUGUGUGUGUGUGUGUGUUUCAUGUCUGUUAAUAUAGACACCUAUGUUUCAUGAUAUGUAGAGGUCAGAAUUCAACCUGUUAUAAUGGUCCAGACUUUCCACUUGGUUUAAGGCUGGGUCUCUUGUCAUCUCCAUGGUAUGGACCAGUCUUAACUGUAGUGGAGACUCUGUGAAUUCCCCUCCCUUCUACCCAAAAGAACUC
rnacentral:lncRNA from 1 species